UGGCUCAUAGCUCAACAGGUUAGAGUACCAGUCUUAUAAGCUGGAAGCUCCGGGUUCAAGUCCCGGUGAGCCAA
rnacentral:tRNA from 1 species